rnacentral:misc_RNA from 1 species
AACGCACCUUGCGCUCCUUGGUAUUCCGAGGAGCAUGCCUGUUUGAGUGUCAUUUAAUUCUCAACCAUCCCUCGAUUCGUUUCGAGGUUUGGCUUGGAUUUUGGGGGCUGCCGGGCGACCCUAGGGUCUUCGGCUCUCCUUAAAAGCAUUAGCGAUGGUGGAACGAUCUAACCCCAUGCAUGAACGGCCUUCGACGUGAUAAUGAUCGUCGUGGCUGGAGUGCUAGCGGACGUCGUGAAAUUGGCGCUUCUAAAUCUCGUCGAAAGACGAAACUCGAAACUUGACCUCAAAUCAGGUAGGACUACCCGCUGAACUUAA